rnacentral:lncRNA from 1 species
UUUGCCUUUCUUAAGUCCUUCGUCGGUGAGGUUUCUUUUUGUGGGUGCACUCCUUUGAGGUUGUGCCGACCGCGGUUUCUUGUUCGUGGGCCUCUGAGGCCUUUGGAUUUGUUUACAAUGACGGCUUUUUCUUUUACUUCAAGUAGUUUGCUCCGGUGGCUAUUUGCCUCCUAAUAGAUGUCUUCGUCUUCUACAUCUCCCUCCCCGGUUACCUGUCCGAAAGCUGUCAUCUCGAUGGUUGCCACGAUAGACUCAACUUCUUCUUUUUCACCCUUGACUCUAUCGGAGAUGGAGAAGAGUACUAAACUUGUAUUUCAAUCUGAGAAAGGAUAGGGUAACUCUCAAAUUCCUUCGAUCGAUAAGGGAAAAGCUCUAAAUUCUAGAUCUGCAUAAUCUAAAGAGAUUGGUGGUGUGAGUAAUACUACUUCUUUGUGGGCUAAUAUUGUUGGUAAGAAUUCGAUGAAGCUUAAGUAUUUUGAAACUCCUGAUUCGGAGGUGGUUGAUGGUGCCCUUAAGAUCACUGAAUCAAUAAUCGAGAAGGGGAUUGUAAAUAUGAGAUCAGCACUGGUUGACCAGUUCCUUGGUUAGAUUCCUCCUAUGAGAGUCUUCUCAUUGAUGAUCAACAGGCGCUGGGCUAUAAAGGGGAGGUAAUACUGUCAAAACUGUCUGAGGGAUUUUUCUUGAUUGAAUUCUCAUCUGUGAAGUUAUGUGACUAGGUUUUAAGCCGAAUGUGGGAUAUACAUCAUUCAACGUUUGUUCUCCGAAAAUGGAAGGUUGGAAUUGAACCUGUUGAAUUUGCAGCUAAACAGUACCUACUUGGAUAACCCUUAAAGGAGUUCCACUACAUCUUGGCACUGAGGAUGGUAUUGGUUGGUUGAUUCGUAGAAUUGGAAAGCCUUUAUGUAGGUUUAUAAGGUUGGAAUUGGACAUUAAAAUCUGUUUGCUUCUUCAGGAAGGAGUGGAAUGCCCAAAGGUUUUACAUAUCUGGCUAAAAGAAAGUCGAGUUAAUAUUCUGAUUGAUGUUCAACAGGUUAGACAGUAUGCUCCGAGGAAGGCAACUGCUCCUCCUAGACCUUAUUAAAGAGAAGUUAAAAAACCCAGCCUCAAAAUGAUGUGAUCACUAAUUUUCUUGCAUGCAACGUCUCAGAAUCUUUUUUGCAAGAGGAGGAACACAUGUAUAGAUUAGAGGAUUGCUAGCUUGAGGGAUAGAGGAGAAGAAUGUUGAAGCUGUUCAAGUGGAGACAUUCCUCAAUCCUCAGCAGGUUGUAAUACUUGAACUUUCUACGAGAAGGGAGGUGAGUGAUAUGAGUCAUAGGAGUAUUAGGAUGAAUAAAAUCUUAGAUACCUCCUUUGUUGGUUGGAGCUCUCUCUCAAAUUAUGAUAAAAGUCCCUUGGGUAAAAUAUGGAUCAUGUGGAGAUAAACGAUCCAGAUUAGUGUAUGGCUCUUGACAUUGUUGGAAGUGAGCCUUUUCGUCUUUGUGUUGUGUAUGGUACAAAUAAGGUUUUCAAAAGGAAAAGGAUGUAUGAAGAAACUGCGAGUUUUUUCAGAUCAAAU